rnacentral:rRNA from 1 species
AGGGUUUGAUCAUGGCUCAGAACGUACGCUGGCGGCACGCCUAACACAUGCAAGUCGAACGAAGUAGCAAUACUUAGUGGCAGACGGGUGAGUAACAUGUGGGUAUCUGCCCUUUGGCCUGGAAUAACACGAGGAAACUUGUGCUAAUACCGGAUAAGUCUUUACGGAGAAAGCUUUAUGCACCAUUGGAUGAGCCCGCACUUGAUUAGUUUGUUGGUGGGGUAAUGGCCUACCAAGACUGUGAUCAAUAGCUGAUUUGAGAGGAUGAUCAGCCACAUUGGGACUGAGACACGGCCCAAACUCCUACGGGAGGCAGCAGUGGGGAAUCUUGCACAAUGGAGGAAACUCUGAUGCAGCGAUGCCGCGUGAGUGAAGAAGGCCCUUGGGUUGUAAAGCUCUUUCGUCGGGGAAGAAAAUGACUGUACCCGAAUAAGAAGGUCCGGCUAACUUCGUGCCAGCAGCCGCGGUAAUACGAAGGGACCUAGCGUAGUUCGGAAUUACUGGGCUUAAAGAGUUCGUAGGUGGUUGAAAAAGUUAGUGGUGAAAUCCCAGAGCUUAACUCUGGAACUGCCAUUAAAACUUUUCAGCUAGAGUAUGAUAGAGGAAAGCAGAAUUUCUAGUGUAGAGGUGAAAUUCGUAGAUAUUAGAAAGAAUACCAAUUGCGAAGGCAGCUUUCUGGAUCAUUACUGACACUGAGGAACGAAAGCAUGGGUAGCGAAGAGGAUUAGAUACCCUCGUAGUCCAUGCCGUAAACGAUGUGUGUUAGACGUUGGAAAUUUAUUUUCAGUGUCGCAGCGAAAGCGAUAAACACACCGCCUGGGGAGUACGACCGCAAGGUUAAAACUCAAAUGAAUUGACGGGGACCCGCACAAGUAGUGGAGCAUGUGGUUUAAUUCGAAGAUACGCGCAGAACCUUACCAACACUUGACAUGUUCGUCGCGACUCUAAGAGAUUAGAGUUUUCGGUUCGGCCGGACGAAACACAGGUGCUGCAUGGCUGUCGUCAGCUCGUGUCGUGAGAUGUUGGGUUAAGUCCCGCAACGAGCGCAACCCUCACUUUUAGUUGCCAUCAUUAAGUUGGGCACUCUGAAAGAACUGCCAGUGAUAAGCUGGAGGAAGGUGGGGAUGACGUCAAGUCCUCAUGGCCCUUACGUGUUGGGCUACACACGUGCUACAAUGGUAUCUACAACAGGAAGCAAGACUGCGAGGUCAAGCAAAUCCUUAAAAGAUACCUCAGUUCGGAUUGCACUCUGCAACUCGAGUGCAUGAAGCUGGAAUUACUAGUAAUCGUGGAUCAGCGUGCCACGGUGAAUGCGUUCCCGGGUCUUGUACACACCGCCCGUCACACCAUGGGAGUUGGUUCUACCUUAAGGCAAGGUUUCAAACCCUUGACCACGGUAUAGUCAGCGACUGGGGU